UCCGUAGGUGAACCUGCGGAAGGAUCAUUAGUGAUUUUAGCGCAUCUGCUUUGCAGAGCGUGACCUCCACUUUCUAACUCUGUGCACUUAAUGGCGGAAGAGAUGAAAUAUGCUCUUCUGCGGCUCAUUUUAUAACACUAGUUAAAGAAUGUAACGAAAUAUCGAAACAAAAAAAAACUUUCAACAACGGAUCUCUUGGCUCUCGCAUCGAUGAAGAACGCAGCGAAAUGUGAUAAGUAAUGUGAAUUGCAGAAUUCAGUGAAUCAUCGAAUCUUUGAACGCACCUUGCGCUCCCUGGUAUUCCGGGGAGCAUGUCUGUUUGAGUGUCAUGAACUCUUCAACCCACCGGUUUCUUGUAAACUGGCUGGUGUUUGGUUUCUGAGUGUUGCUCGUCCUUGUGACUGAGCUCAUUCGUAAUAUAUGAGCAUCUCUAAAUUCGAAUUCGGAUUGACUCAGUGUAAUAGACUAUUCGCUGGAGGACACWCCUAGUGUGGCCGAAUAAAGAUAAAUUGGUAGAAGCCUUCUAACCCCUUCUAGUCAUUUUAAGAAUUAGACCUNCAGAUCAGAUAAGGACUACCCNGCUGAANCUUAAAGCNWU
rnacentral:rRNA from 1 species